rnacentral:lncRNA from 1 species
CUGCACUAUCACUUACACCUGCCCCGACCAGAACGAACUGGGGUAUUUUCCGAGGGCAGCGAUGUCUCCCUCCCACCAGCUCUGUGUCAGCAGGACGAGCAGCAACAUCGCGGUAAGAACUCUCAGUGAAACCUGGGAGACUGAAAUCACUGCAUAUGCCUCCCUACAUAAGGGAAAACAGUAUUAUCAACAAGAUGAAGAGACUCCCGUGUUAGCAGAUAGCACCUCAGGCCAAUGAGAGAGGAAAUGCCCAACAGAAAGGACUGGUCAAAGGUGAAAUGAGUCCAGGAAAGAGAAGAGGAUCAACUAAGACUACAAAAAUUAUGAGUGGAAAUAAAGCAAAUUAAGGGAAAAAGGUCCAUACAAAGGAAUAGAAGAAAAAAGUAAAGAGAAAAAACACCAAACAAACCAUGAAAAAGAAAAGCCAACACUGAAGCUAAAACAGAUCAUGAGAGUCAAUUUAAACCCCCAAAAGCUCACUCACAUGUGCUAACAUGACUCUUCUGGGAACAGCACAGAACUUGUGUAAAAAAAAUAUUUUACAGUAUAGAGAUCAUAAGAUGACAGCAGGUCGGUGACAAAACCAUGAUGACAAUUUGCACACAGGGUGACAAGUCCCAGAAAACCAACUGAGAUAAUCCCCGUUUAUUUAGAGAAACAAGGCUUAUGAUUCACUAUAUGAAAUGAAGAAGAAAUGGGCCAGAGCUCGACAUAAAGUCUUAUAUCUACAAGCACUAUGCCAUCAAAUGCAAAAGAAGACCUGAAGAAAGAAGAUGGAGAAUGAAUUAUACAUAAGCAUUUCUGCAACAUUAUAAGCAUUUUAAAAAAGUAAGUAAGGAAUGCUUAUGCGAGUAACUUCUUUCUGUGUUGCUAGAUCUACUUAGUAGCCUAGUGUAACCAAAACCUGACCUAUUGCCCCUUGGUGUCCCCAGGGUACAGGCAGGGCCUGGAGACUCGCUCUUAGGAGGAGACAUGCCACACCAUGUAAGAGAAAAUGCAAACGUGAGAUUGCUGGGAAGGAUCCCUGCAACACUCUCCAAUCUCUCUUCCCCGUAGACAGUAUCCUGGCAAUGUAUUCCUGAAAUCUUCACAAGGCAGGAUUCUGGAACACACAUAUAGAUAGACAGAUAUACACACACACUCCUUUACAUAUAUACAGCAGGAAUAUACAUAUAUUUACAUACAUUGUAAACUACUGCCAUUACUGUACAAAACCAUAGAGCACAGAGGUACCCAGGUGGCAGAGCCCUUGAUGAAUUUGCAGUCAGUGGAAGGUCUGUAGAAAGAGCCCCUCACAGUACAGAGAUGGAAGAGGAAGGUUUGUAGGAACUAUGUGUAUCCAGACAAGUAUGUCAUUUCAGGUAUUUAGGUUUAGAGUUAGGCUUUGCAACUUUACCAUUUUCCCACUUAGAAAAAAAAUCUUUUGUUUGCAUCUGUGCUC